AAAAAAAAAAAAAAUCAGUUUUGUUGAGAGAGAGAGAGAGAGAGAGAGAAAGAAAGAGAGCGCUCUCUCUGAAGCAGAUAGAAGAAACGACACAGAGGGAAGAAUCCGGCUGGAACGGGAACGACGGAGAGAGACGACAGAAACGAAAUCACGGCGGAGGGACUUGACGAAGAAAACUCUCUCCCUUCAACCAGGUUCAUUGCAGAAUGCCAUGGAGAAAGCUAUUAAAAGCAAAGUUACUAAAGCAGUUGUUCCAGCAAUUGAUGUCAUGUUUCAAGCUUUAAGUACCCCCUAAAAGAAUUUUGAAGAUGCUGCCUGAACUCUUUGAGCUUUGACGUUGGAUUGGAAAAGAACCAGUGAAAUCAAUAUUGUUUGAGAAAAUGCGGGAUACAAUGGUUCCAUCUUACAUUGGUUCUUAUUGCAACAGUAUGCUGCUGGAUGAUGUUUGCAGUGACUCUUCUUCAUAUCAAUUUGUCAAAAUGAGUUAGGGCUUUGAUCAUCCUCUGCAUCUUCAGCUUCGCCAUUGGGACCCUUUUCACCAACAGAUUGUGGGCUCCUCUUCCUGAAUCCAAUGGUCAGACCAUCUCACAGCCGUGACAUGAUCAAGAAUUGCAAAAAUGCAGAAGGAAAUUAUCAUCCAUCAUGCUUGCUAUAGGUAUGAUUUAUAGGUAUAUAAUUGAACACGAUAAAAACACACACACACACACAUAUAUAUAUAUAUAUAUGUAUAUAUUUUGUGUGCCAUAUGUCAUGUGUUAAUGAUGAAAUAAAAAAAUUAUACCUACAAAUUCAUUUGAUGAAUGAAUGUGUUAAUAGUUAGGAUUUGUAUAGGUAUGAUUUGUAGGUAUAUAAUUGAACACGAUAAAAAUACACACACACACACACACAUAUAUAUAUAUUUUGUGUGCCAUGUGUCAUGUGUUAAUGAUGAAAUAAAAAAAUUAUACCUACAAAUUUAUUUGAUGAAUGAAUGUGUUAAUAGUUAGGAUUUGUAUAGUCAAGUUAGACAACCAUGGCUUUAAAUUUAACAUGAAGAUCCCGAGGUUUUACUUACAUGAGAAAAAUGGACAUUUAAUUCUAUUGAAUGUUUGGGAUGGUGAUGAGUUUUGCAAAGAAUGUAAUUACAUUACAUUGAUAUAGUAUGUGAGUUAGAAAUGAUUAAAUUGAUGAAAUCAUGAAUCCGUUUUUGUGUUGUAUGCUAUUGAUAUUGAUGAACCUAUUGCUUAGAGGUUUUGUCCUUGGUAACCGGUAGAGAGUUGCAUUGUUGGUGAUAGAAUGAUAUGGAUUUAGGUUGAAAUUUUCAUUUUUUCUCUUCUAGGUUGCAUGUUAACAUAUUUAGUCAAUGGUUACCUUAACCUUUUAUUGUUGUU